AUGCCUUUCUCGGCCUUUUGGUUAAGAUUAAGUGUAGUACCUGUUCUUAUCAGUUUAAUAUAGGAAUUAUCUACUCACACGAUAUUAACUCAAUUUUUUAAGGGAGAAGGAUCAUAAGAGUAGCUUGCUACUCGGGCCUUUGUGUGUUGCCUAGGCGUUGCACUAUAGCCUAGGCCUGGUGCACCCCAC